AACACAGAAAAUACAGCCAUCAGAUUUCUUGUAGACCUAGCACACUUCUGGUCUGUGUCUGAAUACAUAUAUAAGUACAUAGAUGCAGAUGAACACUGUAAACAUGAUGAAAGAUCGACAGACUAACUCGAACAUAUCUUUAAUCUUUAGGACUUUGGGUAGCGCUUCCUUUCCUUCCUGUCAACCUCUCCAGAGGGGUGUCUGCUGAUGGCAGAAAGAUUACAUCACCUCUGGUUGGAACCCUGGACAGUGCCACAACCUUUGGCUUGGUGUCCAAUGUGAUGCCCAUCGCCACCUUCUGACCUAACUUCUUCUCAGCUCUGUGACUACUUCAAGAGGGGCAUUCCUGUGUGGAGGCGUGCCAGGCAGCUCGUUUUACCUGUGAACUUGCGUACUUUCACUUCAUCAACAACAAAGUGCUAUGCUUCAUGUGGAGAUGCAAGGACUGUGGGACAACAUUAACAAAAAGAUCUGAAUUGCUCAAACACUACAAACUGAUUCAUAGGCAUUACGGACGAGGCCACUCAUAUCCAUGCACUUAUUUAAAUUGUGCAUGUAGGUUCAAGACUUGGAACGCCCUACUGAGCCAUCUAUCAAGAAAUCACCCUGCCCAACAAGCAGUCUCCAAAGCUGCGUCCACAUUCACUUGCCAUAUUUGUGGCCAUAAUCAACUCUCCACAGAAAGAGAAUAUUUUCAACAUAUCUAUCAGCAUCUUAAAAAUAAGGAGACUGUAACAUGUGUGUUCCAAAACUGUGAAUAUAAAACCAAUGUCUAUGAGAACUUCAAAAGUCAUAAAUACAGAAAACACUCUGGUACAGUGAACACA